AUGAACGCUGGCGGCGUGCCUAAUACAUGCAAGUCGAACGAAGAUGAUAGCAAUAUUGUCUUAGUGGCGAACGGGUGAGUAACGCGUUGGUGACCUGCCCCGAAGUGUGGAAUAACAAUUCGAAAGAAUUGCUAAUACCGCAUGUGAUCUUGGAGAUUAGAACCUCUUUGAUUAAAGGAUUUAUUCGCUUCGGUAGGGGCCUGCGUCCCAUCAGCUAGUUGGUAGGGUAAUGGCCUACCAAGGCUUUGACGGGUAGCGGGCCUGAGAGGGUGGCCCGCCACAAUGGAACUGAGACACGGCCCAUACACCUACGGGUGGCAGCAGUAGGGAAUAUUAGGAAUGGGCGAAAGCCUUAACGAGCAACACCGGGUUG
rnacentral:rRNA from 1 species